rnacentral:rRNA from 1 species
CAAUAGCGUAUAUUAAAGUUGUUGCAGUUAAAAAGCUCGUAGUUGGAUUUCUGGUGGGAGCGAUCGGUCUGGCGCUUAGCGCGAGUACUUGCAUCGUCUCCGGCCAUCCUUGGGGAGAGUCUGUCUGGCAUUAGGUUGUCGGGCAGAGGAUCCUCAUCGUUUACUGUGAAAAAAUUAGAGUGUUCAAAGCAGGCUUAUGCCGUUGAAUAUAUUAGCAUGGAAUAAUAAGAUAGGACUUUGGUACUAUUUUGUUGGUUUGCGCACCAAAGUAAUGAUUAAUAGGGACCGUUGGGGGUAUUCGUAUUCCGUUGUCAGAGGUGAAAUUCUUGGAUUUACGGAAGACGAACUACUGCGAAAGCAUUUACCAAGGAUGUUUNCAUUA